UAUUAAAAUUUCAUUCAUUUGUACUGUUAAAAACUAGCGUAGUUAACGGAAAAACCAGAAAGUGACAUGUGACAUGUGACAUGCCACAUGUACCUUAGGCCUAUGUACAAUUAUCGGUUUUUAAUAAUAGAUCUAGAUGAAUUUUUUUACA
rnacentral:pre_miRNA from 1 species